UGGGGAUAUUGCACAAUGGGGGAAACCCUGAUGCAGCGACGCCGCGUGGAGGAAGAAGGUUUUCGGAUUGUAAACUCCUGUCGUUAGGGACGAUAAUGACGGUACCUAACAAGAAAGCACCGGCUAACUACGUGCCAGCAGCCGCGGUAAUACGUAGGUGGCGAGCGUUGUCCGGAUUUACUGGGUGUAAAGGGCGAGUAGGCGGGACAGCAAGUCAGUAGUGAAAUGCGGAGGCUUAACCUCCGAGCUGCUAUUGAAACUGUUGUUCUUGAGUGAUGGAGAGGCAGGCGGAAUUCCCGGUGUAGCGGUGAAAUGCGUAGAGAUCGGGAGGAACACCAGUGGCGAAGGCGGCCUGCCGGACAUUAACUGACGCUGAGGAGCGAAAGCGUGGGGAGCAAACAGGAUUAGAUACCCUGGUAGU
rnacentral:rRNA from 1 species